CGGUAUACGAAUUACUCCAUGGGAAGGCUAUCUGGGUUAAGUCUUUUCGUAUGCUCAAAAACUCCCGAACGGCCGGUGUUUGUAUGGUUUCGUGGAGGCAGCCAGGCGUUCCGUUGUUUCAGCGGUGUUCGGCAGAAAAAGUGUCCGUUUUUAGUUCCACAGAAAUAGAGCCAAACACCGCUGGGCGUUCGCUUGGUUUAAAAUGGCCGCUGCCUCGUGGUCGACAUACGAACGACGACCACCCUGAAUUCGGUUUAAUUGAGAAGUGUCUGCGGUUAACC